rnacentral:rRNA from 1 species
GACGAACGCUGGCGGCGUGCUUAACACAUGCAAGUCGAACGGAAAGGCCCAGCUUGCUGGGUGCUCGAGUGGCGAACGGGUGAGUAACACGUGGGUGAUCUGCCCCUAACUUCGGGAUAAGCUUGGGAAACUGGGUCUAAUACCGGAUAGGACAAUCGUUUAGUGUCGGUUGUGGAAAGUUUUUUCGGUUAGGGAUGAGCCCGCGGCCUAUCAGCUUGUUGGUGGGGUAAUGGCCUACCAAGGCGUCGACGGGUAGCCGGCCUGAGAGGGUGGACGGCCACAUUGGGACUGAGAUACGGCCCAGACUCCUACGGGAGGCAGCAGUGGGGAAUAUUGCACAAUGGGCGCAAGCCCGAUGCAGCGACGCCGCGUGGGGGAUGACGGCCUUCGGGUUGUAAACCUCUUUCGACAGGGACGAAGCUUUGGUGACGGUACCUGUAGAAGAAGCACCGGCUAACUACGUG